GUGCUUGAUUCAGCAGCACAUAUACUAAAAUUGGAACAACACAGAGAAGAUCAGCAUGCCUCUUGCAUAAGGAGAACAUGUAAAUUUGUGAAGUGUUCCACAUUUUU
rnacentral:snRNA from 1 species